AGACAGUAAAAGCCGGGAAGGAGAUGCGCAAUAGUCAAGACCGUCUCAUGCCUCGGAGAUGUGCCUUGUCAAAGAAAAGAGAUCACGAAGUAGAUUUUGGAAGAGAAUGAAUUCUUUAUUUGUGAUGCUGGAACUUUCUUUUAUUUAAUAUUAAGCAUAUAUCUUAACUGAAUAAAAACUGAUGAUUUA